CGGAGGAUGCGAGCGUUAUCCGGAUUUAUUGGGUUUAAAGGGUGCGUAGGCGGCUUAGUAAGUCAGCGGUGAAAUUUUGCAGCUUAACUGUAACAGUGCCGUUGAUACUGCCAGGCUAGGAUUUGGUUGCUGUGGGUGGAAUGUGUGGUGUAGCGGUGAAAUGCUUAGAUAUCACACAGAAUAUCGAUUGCGAAGGCAGCUCACAAAGCCAAGAUUGACGCUGAGGCACGAAAGUGUGGGGAUCAAACA
rnacentral:rRNA from 1 species